rnacentral:rRNA from 1 species
AUACGGAGGGUGCAAGCGUUAUCCGGAAUCACUGGGUUUAAAGGGUGCGUAGGUGGUUUGAUAAGUCAGAGGUGAAAGCCCACCGCUUAACGGUGGAACUGCCUUUGAUACUGUCAGACUUGAAUAAGGCUGAGGUCGGCGGAAUGUGUCAUGUAGCGGUGAAAUGCAUAGAUAUGACAUAGAACACCAAUUGCGAAGGCAGCUGACUAGACCUUUAUUGACACUGAGGCACGAAAGCGUGGGGAGCGAACAGGAUUAGAUACCCCGGUAGUCC